rnacentral:rRNA from 1 species
GAUGAACGCUAGCGGCAGGCCUAACACAUGCAAGUCGAGGGGCAGCGGGUGUAGCAAUACAUGCCGGCGACCGGCGCACGGGUGAGUAACGCGUAUGCAACCUACCUUAAACUGGGGGAUAGCCCCGAGAAAUCGGGAUUAAUACCCCAUAAGAUUGUAGAAGGACAUCCUUCAGCAAUUAAAACUCCGGUGGUUUAAGAUGGGCAUGCGUGCCAUUAGCUAGUUGGCGGGGUAAUAGCCCACCAAGGCUACGAUGGCUAGGGGGUCUGAGAGGAUGAUCCCCCACACUGGUACUGAGACACGGACCAGACUCCUACGGGAGGCAGCAGUGGGGAAUAUUGGACAAUGGGCGGAAGCCUGAUCCAGCCAUGCCGCGUGUGUGAAGAAGGCCUUUUGGUUGUAAAGCACUUUAAGCGAGGAGGAGGCUCUUAAGGUUAAUACCCUUGAUGAGUGGACGUUACUCGCAGAAUAAGCACCGGCUAACUCUGUGCCAGCAGCCGCAGUAAAAC